rnacentral:rRNA from 1 species
ACUCCUGCGGGAGGCAGCAGUGGGGAAUAUUGCACAAUGGGCGCAAGCCUGAUGCAGCCAUGCCGCGUGUAUGAAGAAGGCCUUCGGGUUGUAAAGUACUUUCAGCGGGGAGGAAGGCAAUACGGUUAAUAACCGUGUUGAUUGACGUUACCCGCAGAAGAAGCACCGGCUAACUCCGUGCCAGCAGCCGCGGUAAUACGGAGGGUGCAAGCGUUAAUCGGAAUUACUGGGCGUAAAGCGCACGCAGGCGGUCUGUCAAGUCGGAUGUGAAAUCCCCGGGCUCAACCUGGGAACUGCAUUCGAAACUGGCAGGCUUGAGUCUUGUAGAGGGGGGUAGAAUUCCAGGUGUAGCGGUGAAAUGCGUAGAGAUCUGGAGGAAUACCGGUGGCGAAGGCGGCCCCCUGGACAAAGACUGACGCUCAGGUGCGAAAGCGUGGGGAGCAAACAGGAUUAGAAACCCGUGUAGUCCCAUG